UCUGGAGGAGAGACGCCAUGCUCAGCUCUCCCGGGUAGACGCGAUAGCUCCUCUCAGAGACACGAGAUAGCUCUGCUCUCAGAGACACACGCGAUGAAGCUCCGACUCAGGGUGGACGUAGGCUAGAAUCUUCCCGAGAUGGAGAUUCUGUCUCCUUAUGCUCUGACUGAAUCAACAGGAAAUGUGAGAGGGACCAAACGAAGUGGUCCUGUGCAGAGAGAAGUCUAGGAGGCCCACUCUGCUACACCCAUCCUUCCUCUCUCGCAUGCACCCAGAGCGGCUAUACCUACAGCGAGGACAAACAGGCUUUGUCUGACACUGUGAGAUUAUCAUCUCUCUCCUCCUUGAGGGAAGUGCCAGGUCCCAGUUACAGACAAGGGGAAAGAAGAAGGCAAGGGAGGAGGUUCCCCGCUCCCAUUUAUGGGGUGUACGUGAAUGGAGGCCUAGAAAGACCAUUGCGUGAAACUGUGAAGUUGAAGCCUGAAUUUCCUUGGAGACCCCAAGAUGCUAGAGCCAUGAGAUACCUGUCCAGGAAAGCUGCUAAAAGGGAGUGGAACCAGCCUAAGAGAAAGAAGUAUGUUGCAAUCAACAUAGUUGAAAGGAGUUGGAGAUAUGAAAAGCAUUUUGACAUUAGAUGUGGAGAUGCAGUUUGGAGUUUACCCAGCUGGAUUUCAGUCUUGCUUUGGUCCAGUAUUCCUUCAUUAUGCUCCCUUCUCUACAUUUUGGAAUGAACCUUCAUCUGGCGAUGGAUGGAGAUAGAGACAGAGAUCCACACUGGAGCACUGGACUGAGCUCCCAAGGUCCAAAUGAGGAACAGAAGGAGGGAGAACAUGAGCAUGGAAGUCAAGACCGCAAUGGGGCACCCACCCACUGAGACAGUGGGGCUGAUCUAUUGGGAGCUCACCAAGGCCAGCUGGACGGGGACUGAAAAAGCAUGGGAUAAAACCGGACUCUCUGAAUAUGAUGGACAAUGAGGGCUGCUGAGAAGCCAAGGACAAUGGCACUGGGUUUUGAUCCUACUGCAUGUACUGGCUUUGUGAGAGCCUAGCCUAUUUGGAUGCUCACCUUCCUAGACCUGGAUGGAGGGGG